GACGAACGCUGGCGGCGUGCUUAACACAUGCAAGUCGAACGCUGAAGCCCUUCAGGGUGGAUGAGUGGCGAACGGGUGAGUAACACGUGGGUAAUCUGCCCUGCACUCUGGGAUAAGCCUUGGAAACGGGGUCUAAUACCGGAUAGGACACAUCGCCGCAUGGUGUGUGUGUGGAAAGUUCCGGCGGUGCAGGUUGAGCCCGCGGCCGAUCAGCUUGUUGGGGGGGUGAUGGCCUACCAAGGCGACGACGGGUAGCCGGCCUGAGAGGGUGACCGGCCACGCUGGGACUGAGACACGGCCCAGACUCCUACGGGAGGCAGCAGUGGGGAAUCUUGCGCAAUGGGCGAAAGCCUGACGCAGCAACGCCGCGUGGGGGAUGACGGCCUUCGGGUUGUAAACCUCUUUCGACCGGGACGAAGGAUUCGUUUGACGGUACCGGUAGAAGAAGCACCGGCUAACUACGUGCCAGCAGCCGCAGUAAAAC
rnacentral:rRNA from 1 species